rnacentral:tRNA from 1 species
GCCAGUGUUGCUCAGUUGUUAGAGUGUCGGCCUGUGGACCCAAGGGUCACAGGUUCAAUUCCCAGUCAAAGGCA